ensembl:lncRNA
AUUGCACCAGCUAGAACCUAUGAUCCUACUCUUCUUCUUCUAGACCACAGCUCCAACUAGCUCCAAGACCCCAACUUCAAGGCCAGGGAGGCCUGGAAGCUUAGUGGGUCUCAUAGAACAUUUGGAGAUCACUAGCUAUCUUCUCUACACGCUUCCCAGAGGUGCUUCUAUGAAUGUCCAGGUCUUAUCCUUUAUCACACAUAAUAUCAUGGCAUCUUCUUAUCUUGGCUGUGUCUGUAUGAACUUAAAGAUCCUGAAGGACGACACUGUACCUUAUUUCAUCUCAUCUUUUCAGGAGCAAAUUCAGGACCUGACCCAUAAGAACUGGUGGAGAAUCAUCUGUUGAAUAGAUGCUGAAUGUUUGUGCCUCUCUGCUCUCCAACAAGAUGUCAUGCUCCUUGAUGACGAGAGCCACCGCUGAUCUCCUAUAUCCAGUCAACAUCUUCCAGAAAACAGACCAUCAAUAUGCAUUUGCAGCAUAUAUUAUUGGGCCUAGAAGCAAUACUUCAAGAGUCAGCAAAGCCUCAAGAAUCAUCCAGCUCUUUUCUCUGCUGCCCUUCUUUUCUCUGAAAAUUAAUGUAUCUCUCUGUAUCAUUUAUCUAAUGCUGUGUAAAAAACUACCUCAAAACCUGGUACCUUCAGACAGCAAACACUUAUCAGUUUACAGAGUAUCAAAGAUCAGAAAUCUAGGAGUGGCUCACGUCGGUGGUCCUGGCUCAGUCUCUCAUGGGGCUGCAGUGCAGGUGGAGAAACUGAUGGGACUGAGGACUUACUUCCAAGCUCACUGAUGUGGCUGUUGUCAGGAGAACCCAGCUCCCUGCCACAUGGGCCUCUCCAUAAAAUGCUUAAAAUCCACAGCAGCUGGCUUCCCCCAGAGUAAGUGAUUCAAAAGAGCAAGCCACCAAGGCCGGGUGCAGUGGCUCAUGCCUGUAACCCCAGCACUUUGGGAGGCUGAAGUGGUUGAAUCACCUGAGGUCAGGAGUGUGAGACCAGCCUGGCCAACAGAGUGAAACCCCAAUUCUAUGAAAAAUACAAAAAUUAACCAGGUGUGGUGGUGGGUGCUUGCGAUCCCAGCUACUCUGGAGGCUGAGGCAGGAGAAUACCUUGAACCUGAGAGGCAGAGGUUGCAGUGAGCUGAGAUAAAAAAGAGAGAGCAAGCCACACACCUUUUUAUAAUCUGGUAUUUGAAGUCAUCCUUUGUGACUUCUCCUUUAUUCUAUUCUGUAGAAGUAAAUCACUAAGUCCAGUCCUGGGAGGGCGAUUAGGCUCUAUCUCUUGAAGGAGGAAGUAUGAAUUUUUGGAUAUACAGUCAUGCUCCACAUAAUGACAUUUUAUCAAUGAUGGACCACAUAUAUGACCAUGGUCCCAUUAGAUAAUAAUGGAACUGAACAAUUCCUGCUGCCUAAUGGGAUUGAAGCCAUCAUAACAUCAUAGUGCAAGACAUUACUUACAUGUUUGUGGUGAUGCUGAUGGAAACAAACCACUGUGUUGCCAGUUGUAUAAAUGUCUAGGGUAUACAGUUAUGUACAGUGUGUAAUACUUGACAAUAAUAGCAAAUGACUAUGCUACCAGUUUGUGUGUUUACCAUAUUAUAUUUUUAUCAUUAUUUUAGUGUGUAUUCCUUCUAUUUAUUUUUAAGAAAAGGAUAACUGUAAAACAGCAUCAAGCAGGUCUAUAGGAGUUUUCCAGAAGAAGGCAUUGUUAUCUUAGGAGAUGACAGCUCCAUGCGUGUUAUUUCCUUGAAGACCUUCCCGUGAGAUAAGACAUGGAGGUGGAAGACAGUGAUACGGAUGAUCCUGAGCCUGUGUAGGUCUAGGCUAAUGCAUGUGUUUAAGUCUUAGUUUUUAGCAAAAACAUUUAAGAUGUAAAAAAUAAAUAAAACCCUUUAAAAAGGGAAAGAAAGCUUAUAGAAUAAGGAUUUUAAAAAGAGAACAUUUUUAUAUGGCUGUACAAUCUGUUUGUCUUUUAGGCUAAAUGUUAUGAGAAAAAAAGUCAGAAGUUAAAAAAAAUUUAAAUUUAUAAAGUAAAAAAGUUACAGUAAGUUAAGGUUAAUUGGUUAUUGAGGAAAUAAUUUCUUUUUCUCAUGACCCAGCAUAGCAGG